AGGCGAAGUGGUGUAGGACAACAAAGGGAUGACAGCCAUGCACCAGGAGGGAAAGACUUGGAGAUUUCUGAGCAAGGAAACUGCCUGCUGUUUGUUUCCACUGUGUUCAGGAAAACUACGUUGUGGGGAGAGAUUCCAAGGACAGAAGAGACCACAGUGAUCAUCUAGUCUGCCCUCCUGUGUAACACAAACCAUCCUACAGAACUUGCCCAACCCUUCUGCAGAGGCUCGCCCUUCCUGAGAAAUUUCUUCAGUACCUAAUAAGCAUAAACCCCUCCUCUUUACAUCAUCUUCUCAUCCACAUGUGGAGAUCCUGAAGUUCCCCCUGUCCACCUGAUCCUGUAUCCCCUGUAUUAGGAGCAAAGGCAUCUUUAGGCCUGACAGAAGCCUGCUGUGGAUGUUAAGAGUCUGUUCUGAUAAUGUUUAACAGCAGAAGUAGAACUGUGUAUGUGUAACAAAUUGCAGAGUAAUCAUAUUUAAUGUUGCACAUGUGUAAGAAACUGUAAUCGGGUUGUGUUGCUCAUGUGAAAGAAAUUGCAGAGCACUCAUGUUUGUGAGAAGAUGAUGAAGUAGCUAAAAUGCUAGAAAGGACCAUUUUGAACUAACACUAAAUCUAUACUGAUGGAGGAGGAAAGUGAACAUGGAAAUGAGAGACAAAUAUACAUGUAUAGGAGAAGAUAACAGUUAUAAAUAAGUCUGUGUAACAACAGGAGGUUGAAGCUGUAUAGUCUAAUACUGGACACGGCUGUGAUGAGAUGGUCCUGAUUGGCUUCCCACUUGUGAGUAAUUGAUCACUACUCGCUGAGUGUUUUGCCUUAGUUGGAUUAAGGUUCAUUUACUCAGCAAAUAUAUCUAACACCCCUGUGGACUAGAAGAUUUCAAAGAAAACUGAGAUCCUGGACCUAAGCUUACUUUCUAGCAAUCUAAAUUCUGAUUCCAGGAUGGCUCUCUUAUGCCAUUGGAACCAAUAUGUCCCUUGACCGCAGUCUCCCUCCGGUACUCACUGUCCUGAUGCUGCUAGACAAGUCACUGCCCAGUUUCCAUGGUCAGUGCAAGCCCAGCUAUCCAUACUUCUAAUGAUCAAACACCACACUAGAUCAAAAAUAUAGAAAACAGAGAAAGAAUCAAUGGUAAUGAGAGAAUCAUCAACCUUUCUAGCACAUUCUAAGGUCACCGUAAAUCUCGCUGUGGGAGGGUGUGGAAAGUUCUUUAGCAUUACGGGUGAAUUUUAAAUGGAAACAUAAUCCUUUUCCUUGUUUGACCCCCUAGCCUAACUUUCCCAAUUCACUUAAGCCUUAUCUACACGGGAAAGUUUUUUUUGGUAUAUGUUUUUUCAGUAUAACUUUACAACUUAAGCUCCUUCCCUUGUAAGUCAUGCUGUGUCCACACAGCUCUGUGCUUUUCUGAAAUAACUGCACAGCAUUGUGGACAGAUAUC